rnacentral:rRNA from 1 species
GGCGGCCACCGCUAUUGGAAUUCGAUUAAGACAUGCGAGUCGAGAGUCGCAAGGACUCGGCGGACCGCUCAGUAACACGCGGAUAACAUGCCCUUGGGUGGGGGAUAACCUCGGGAAACUGAGAAUAAUACCCCAUAGAUCUAGAAAGCUGGAAUGCUUUUAGAUCGAAAACUCCGGUGCCCAAGGAUUGGUCUGCGGCGUAUCAGGUUGUAGUGGGUGUAACGGACCCCCUAGCCUAUGACGCGUAAGGGCCUUGAGAGAGGGAGCCCUGAGAUGGACUCUGAGACAUGAGUCCAGGCCCUACGGGGCGCAGCAGUCGCGAAAACUUCACAAUGGGGGAAACCCCGAUGAGGGAAUUCCAAGUGCCAGCACAUUGUGUUGGCUGUUCUCUGGUCUAAAA